rnacentral:rRNA from 1 species
CAGCCGCCACGGUAAUACGUAGGGUGCGAGCGUUAAUCGGAAUUACUGGGCGUAAAGCGUGCGCAGGCGGUUGUGUAAGACAGGUGUGAAAUCCCCGGGCUUAACCUGGGAACUGCGCUUGUGACUGCACAGCUAGAGUAUGGCAGAGGGGGGUGGAAUUCCACGUGUAGCAGUGAAAUGCGUUGAGAUCGGAAAGAACACCAACGGCGAAAGCACUCUGCUGGGCCGACACUGACACUGAGAGACGAAAGCUAGGGGAGCAAAUGGGAUUAGAUACCCCGGUAGUCCCUGUCUCUUAUAC